UCGAGGAUAAUUGCUCACAAACCGAGUCUGUUACUCCUCCCCCUAAUUUUAAGAGACUACGGAGAGGGGCUAAGAGGAAUUCUAAGCAGUGACGUGAAUCUAAAUAUACAUGACUUGUUGGAACUGUUCCUGAGGUGCUGCAGAACCUGAAUCCGGAGCCUUCAGUUCAAGCAAACAAAAAGCAUCAAGGAAAUAUGAUGGAUCCCUUUUUUGUAUAUAGCUUUUGAAGUAGUGAAAUGUGUAUACAACAAGUCCGCCAGGCUGGUCCAAGUAGGAUCGAUUCCUCAGAACCAAAACCAACAACUGUGAUGCACCCUUUGCUCUUCACUCUUCACUAGCUGGAGGAAAGUUCUUCGCUGCACUGUCUGUGUUCUAUCCUGUGUGGGCUUAAAGAUCAUGUUUCGUUUCA